AUACGGAGGGUGCGAGCGUUGUUCGGAAUUAUUGGGCGUAAAGCGCGUGUAGGCGGUUUGCUCAGUCUGAUGUGAAAGCCCUGGGCUCAACCUGGGAAGUGCAUUGGAUACUGGCAGACUUGAGUACGGGAGAGGGUAGUGGAAUUCCCAGUGUAGGAGUGAAAUCCGUAGAUAUCAGGAGGAACACCGGUGGCGAAGGCGGCUGCCUGGACCGAUAUUGACGCUGAGACGCGAAAGCGUGGGUAGC
rnacentral:rRNA from 1 species